rnacentral:rRNA from 1 species
UGCAAGUCGAACGGUGAACACGGAGCUUGCUCUGUGGGAUCAGUGGCGAACGGGUGAGUAACACGUGAGCAACCUGCCCCUGACUCUGGGAUAAGCGCUGGAAACGGCGUCUAAUACUGGAUAUGUGACGUGACCGCAUGGUCUGCGUUUGGAAAGAUUUUUCGGUUGGGGAGGGGCUCGCGGCCUAUCAGCUUGUUGGUGAGGUAAUGGCUCACCAAGGCGUCGACGGGUAGCCGGCCUGAGAGGGUGACCGGCCACACUGGGACUGAGACACGGCCCAGACUCCUACGGGAGGCAGCAGUGGGGAAUAUUGCACAAUGGGCGAAAGCCUGAUGCAGCAACGCCGCGUGAGGGAUGACGGCCUUCGGGUUGUAAACCUCUUUUAGCAGGGAAGAAGCGAAAGUGACGGUACCUGCAGAAAAAGCGCCGGCUAACUACGUGCCAGCAGCCGCGGUAAUACGUAGGGCGCAAGCGUUAUCCGGAAUUAUUGGGCGUAAAGAGCUCGUAGGCGGUUUGUCGCGUCUGCUGUGAAAUCCCGAGGCUCAACCUCGGGCCUGCAGUGGGUACGGGC